rnacentral:rRNA from 1 species
AUUGAACGCUGGCGGCAUGCCUUACACAUGCAAGUCGAACGGUAACAGGUCUUCGGAUGCUGACGAGUGGCGAACGGGUGAGUAAUGCAUCGGAACGUGCCCAGUAGUGGGGGAUAGCCCGGCGAAAGCCGGAUUAAUACCGCAUACGACCUGAGGGUGAAAGGGGGGGAUCGCAAGACCUCUCGCUAUUGGAGCGGCCGAUGUCAGAUUAGUUAGUUGGUGGGGUAAAGGCCUACCAAGGCAACGAUCUGUAGUUGGUCUGAGAGGACGACCAGCCACAAUGGGACUGAGACACGGCCCAGACUCCUACGGGAGGCAGCAGUGGGGAAUUUUUCGCAAUGGGGGAAACCCUGACGAAGCAACGCCGCGUGGAGGGUGAAGGCCUUCGGGUCGUAAACUCCUGUCGACCGGGACGAAAGCGGUCCGGAUCAAUACCCCGGGUCGUUGACUGUACCGGUGGAGGAAGCCACGGCUAACUCUGUGCCAGCAGCCGCCGUAACAC